AAAAAACAAGAUCAGGACUGUUGCUGCAUGAGAAUUCAUAUUCUUGUAAGCCGAAGCUACCGCGUGCCAAAUCCUUUGAGUGAUGAUGGUGGGUGUGGUGGUGGAGGGACAUGAGGUUGCUUAAGGACUUCCUCAAGAGCUUCCCUCUCUUCAUCAUGAGAUUCAUGUCCAUGAUCAACUUCCUCUUUGAAACCAAUCCCUUCCUUAUCAUAAAGAAGGUUACCCUCAAAACAUUCCAUAGCCUCUUGGCUAACAUAGAGUUUACCCUUGGAUGCACCUCCAUUGCACAAUACUCUCCUUAUAAUUUUG
rnacentral:lncRNA from 1 species